rnacentral:rRNA from 1 species
GUGGGGAAUAUUGCACAAUGGGCGAAAGCCUGAUGCAGCGACGCCGCGUGCGGGAUGAAGGCCUUCGGGUUGUAAACCGCUUUCAGCAGGGACGAGGCCGUAAGGUGACGGUACCUGCAGAAGAAGCCCCGGCUAACUACGUGCCAGCAGCCGCGGUAAUACGUAGGGGGCAAGCGUUAUCCGGAUUCAUUGGGCGUAAAGCGCGCGUAGGCGGCCUGUUAGGUCGGAAGUCAAAUCCGGGGGCUCAACCCCCGUCCGCUUUCGAUACCGGCAGGCUUGAGUUUGGUAGGGGAAGGUGGAAUUCCCAGUGUAGCGGUGGAAUGCGCAGAUAUUGGGAAGAACACCGGUGGCGAAGGCGGCCUUCUGGGCCAUAACUGACGCUGAGGCGCGAAAGCUAGGGGAGCGAACAGGAUUAGAAACCCGAGUAGUCC